AAAUUGAAGAGUUUGAUCAUGGCUCAGAUUGAACGCUGGCGGCAGGCCUAACACAUGCAAGUCGAACGGUAACAGAAAGCAGCUUGCUGCUUUGCUGACGAGUGGCGGACGGGUGAGUAAUGUCUGGGAAACUGCCUGAUGGAGGGGGAUAACUACUGGAAACGGUAGCUAAUACCG
rnacentral:rRNA from 1 species